UUGAAUGCAAGAAAGUUUUUAUUUUAAGGUUGAUCACUUUUCAGUUAUCUUGAGAAGAGAAAAAGAACAUCACAGCAUUUGGUUCCUGUUCACCGUGGAGAUGCUUGAAAGAUGCGUUCCGAGGUAGCAAGGAGAGUGCACCUGGAAAGGCACACAAACACAAUUAAUAAUAUGUUGAAUAAUUAAUGUUUGUUUUUAGUUAUUAUCCCUGAGAGUGGGUGUGUGUGUGUGUGUGUGUGUGUGUGUGUGUGUGUGUGUGUGUGUGUGUGUGUGUGUGUGUGAAGUGGACCAAAAGCCACUACUGAGCAGAAGAUUCCAAGCACUGUGCAAAUCCCUUAAGAGAAGGAGAUCUGUAAAGGAAGAACAUAUAGUUAUUGUAAACUUGUUGACGUCGUAAAAUUUCAUUUGUAAUUUGUCUUUUGAAGAGAUAGAUAGAUUAUGAGUGGUUGAACAGAGGAACAAGAGAGAUGAGCGAUCAAGGGUUUUCUUACAAUUCAGCGUCUUCUUCGGUGACAAAUGCACUCUCCUCCUGGUCAGAACUGAAAAAACGAAAGAGAAAGUUGACGCUUCGUAAGAUUAAAUUUUUACCUCUUAAUGUAAGCUACCAUUAAAGUCAUACAGUAGUUCUGCGCUAAGGUGCCAAAAUGGCAUUGUGUUUUAGCCCUUUAAGUAUACUAAUUAAGACAUGUACAACAGUGGAUUGUACUAUAGUACAGUUUUACGGCAAUGGCCUUUCUAUAGAAUUGUAUUUUGUUUAAGUUGACCAGAUAAUAUAAUGUACUAAAUGAGAGAUAAUAUAGAGAUGCAUAUGACGGAGGUAGAAGGAUUGAGCAGAGGGGAAUCUUACGCCACUUUCAAUGCAACACGUAGAGAAGCAAAAUCGUCCCUGUAAAGGAAAAAAAGCGACGCCAUUGAUUUGAUACCACAAAUUCCAUACAUACUGAUUCAUUGAUAAUGUUUGUACUAAAUUAGAUAAUUAGAUUAGAUUCGAUCAUUGAAGAGAGCGAAUGGUUACUUACGAUUCCAGAAUAUUCUCCAAUGCUGUAGAAAUCUUUUCCAUAUCUGGACUGUAAAAGAAAAGACAUACCAUUGAUUUGUAACUACUGAAUUAAUGGAGAAAACGUAUUAACAAAGUGAUUAAUACAACCAUUAAUGAUCAAUACCAACAACUACUAUUAGUACUGACUAUAAGGCUAGAGUCAUUGAGAGAUAAUAGAGGGAUUCAGGAGAGAGGGGAUGCAUACCUUUCCAGAACUGCCUGGAGUGCUUCUCCUAGUUCAGCCAUAGCUGUACUGUGAAGGAGAAAGAGAAGGAUACCAAUUGAGUACAUAAGCAGAAGCAUCUCAAUCUAUUUGCAUGCAAUGUUAUGCAUUUGUAGCACCCACAGUAGUCUGCAAGCAAUAGCAGAACUGGCCACGGUAAGGUUCAUUUCAUAUUUAACCUUAAUUUGAAAUUUUUCUCACAGAAUGUCGUAAAUUGAUGGAAUAAAUGUCAAGUAUAAAACAAACCACUUUGGUUAGAAAGUAAAUAAAUCGAUGAACAUCUGGAAUUGACUGAACAAGGUGCGACGGCCCCAUUGCGUUGAGGUCUUCUGACCUCUGUUAAUUAAGGCCAGUAACCCACACCUUCUAGGCAGGUCAUGAGAAAGGCUAGAGUCAAGGAGAGAUCGCAAAUGGAAUAGAGAGCUAGAGGCAUGAAGGAGAGAGAGGAUGGGUACCUGUUUACAAGUUUGGCAACUGCAUCAUAAACGUCAGUCACCACUGAACUGUAAAGCAAAAAGAGAUACCAUUGAUUUUUUGUUAGGUGGUUUAAAGUUAAAAAGUGAUUCAUUGACCAAUUCAUUACAUACUAACAGAGGAAUUCACUAUAAGGACUGACUCUUCAAGGUGUCAGUGAGAGAUGGUGGAGAGACAGAGGGAUUCAGGAGGAAGGGGACUCGUACCUGUUUAGAAAUUCCGCAUCCUUUUGUUCCAAUUCAACCACAGCGUCACUGUAAAGGAAAAAAUAAUAUACCAAUUGACUACAAAUGGAGAAGCAUCUAGAUCUUUCUGCUUAAAAUGUUUUGCAUUUGUACCACAAACAUGCAAUAAUCACCAAGGAAUAACCGAACUGGACAGGCUAAAGUUAGUUUCAUAUCAAACAUUAAUUUCACUUUUCUCCCCAUGUCCACUUCAGACCCCAGAGACAGGUUGUGACAAAGGCUAGGGGUCAAGAAGAGGUUAUUGAGAGAGAGCUAGAGGUAUUCAGGAGAUCGAGGAUGGUUACCUGUUUAGAAGUUCAACAAUUUGUGCAUCAAGCUCUUUCAUCGCUGCACUGUAGGGAAAAUAUAUACCAUUGAUUUGUAGUUAAUUUAUCAAAAAAGUUUUAAAAUGAUAAAUAGAUCAAUGAAUUACAUAAUAAUCAAUGAAUUCAGUAUUAGGAUGCCUGAUUUCAAGGCAUUAGUGUGAGAUGGUGGAGAGAUCAUGGGGAGUCAUACGUGUUGUUAAUUUCCUCAAUCAAUUGUUCCAAAUCGACCGCAGCGUCACUGUUAAGAAAAAAGAAAGAUACCAAUUGACUACAAAAGGAGAAGCAUCUAGAUCUUUCUGCUUAAAAUGUUAUGCAUUUGUAGCAGAUUUGAACCAUAGAAAUGUGAUUUAUUCAGGAGAGAGAGGAGGUUUACCUGCUUAGAAUCGCAGAAGUUGAUUCUGUAAGGUCAGUUAUUGUACUGUAAAUGGAAGAAGAGAUACCAUUGAACUGAGUAAAGGAGAGGUCGUUAAUGGAAGGAAGAGGUUGAGGGAUUCAGAAGAGAAAAGGGAUGCUUACCUGUUCACUAUUAUCUCAGCUUCUUCUUCCCUGAAAUGGAAAGACAGAGCGAUACCAUUCAUUAGCAAUGAAUUAAUGAAAUAAAAAACCAACAAACCGAUAAUUGACUCACUAAAUUAAGUUAUGGUGAGAAAAUAAUCAGAUUAAUUGCACUUACAAGGUUAUAGAAGCAGCUGUAAAACAAAAGCACAAUUCCAAAGAUUAGGAGGAUAAGUAUUGUGAUGUUUUCAUAAAAAAUAUUUAUACAAGCAUGCUUCCCCAUAAAAAACACCCUGAGCAAGUAACCUAACCCCUGUCUUCUUAUAAAUACAACGUUUCUGAAUUGACUGCAAAUUGCUUUGGAUAAAAUAAAUAAAUAGUAAUUAUGUAUUGUAUGACUACUCACCACAGACCGUGUCCAGGUAAAGCCCAAUGGCCAAUACUUGAAGAAAGAGGGAAAGAAAGACAGACAAUGCUGUGAUCCAUGGCAUUUUCUAGAAUCAUUUGUUUCUCCAACAUCAGGAGUGUUCGCCACAAGACUAUCUCACUGAGAGUCUUAAAUCAUGUUUUGAAGAAUGGUUUUCUUAUGAACUACAGUUUGUUUUAGACACAAUAAACGGAGGAGGUAAGAGUAAUAAUCAAGCAAGUACUUACAGGCAAUCACUGAUAACUUGAAGGAAGCCAUUUUUUGCAGGUAUUCAGCUAGAUGCAAGGAUACAAUGUCUUCAGAAUGUGUUCUCUAUCUGGACUGGGACUGCUCCUUUUAUAGCAUCUCUCAACAUACCAAAA
ensembl:lncRNA